rnacentral:rRNA from 1 species
AGUUCGGAUUGCAGGCUGCAACCCGCCUGCAUGAAGCCGGAAUCGCUAGUAAUCGCGAAUCAGAAUGUCGCGGUGAAUACGUUCCCGGGUCUUGUACACACCGCCCGUCACACCAUGGGAGUCGGAAAUGCCCGAAGUCAGUGACCCAACCGUAAGGAGGGAGCUGCCGAAGGUGGAGCCGGUAACUGGGGUGAAGUCGUAACAAGGUAGC